GAUGAACGCUAGCGGCAGGCUUAAUACAUGCAAGUCGAACGGCAGCACGGAUAGCAAUAUCUGGUGGCGAGUGGCGCACGGGUGCGUAACGCGUAUGCAACCUACCUUUAACUGGGGAAUAGCCCCGAGAAAUCGGGAUUAAUACUCCAUAACAUCACGGAAUGGCAUCUUUCUGUGAUCAAAGCUCAGGCGGUUUAAGAUGGGCAUGCGUGACAUUAGCUAGUUGGUAAGGUAACGGCUUACCAAGGCUUCGAUGUCUAGGGGUUCUGAGAGGAUAUUCCCCCACACUGGUACUGAGACACGGACCAGACUCCUACGGGUGGCAG
rnacentral:rRNA from 1 species